AAAACAUGUUGUGAGCAAGAAUUGACAAGAUCCUUGAACUGCUCCCAACAUUAGAAGAAUGUUUCAUCUUCUUUUUGGGCGAAGUUCAUGAUCGACUUUCUAAUGGU